rnacentral:lncRNA from 12 species
GGGGGGGGGGGGGGGGGGGGGGGGGGGGGGGGGGGGGGGGGGGGGGGGGGGGGGGGGGGGGGGGGGGGGGGGGGGGGAAGCGGCGGCCGGGGACGAUCCCGGGGGUCCCGAGGGUCCCGAUCCCGCCGGAGCGGACGGAGCUGGAAUAGACGGUGCGGCGGGAGAAGCUCAUGGAGACGGUGACGCGACGGCGAGAGGCCGAGAGUCGCACGGACGGACGCACGGACGGAAUUCCGGGCGGGAAUUCUGGCCGCGAUUUAUAGCCGGGAGCGGCCCCACGGCACCUCCCCACGGCCGCGCUCCCGGGAAGGAGGGGGCGCGGAAGGGGGUGGAGAGCACCGGGACCCGCAUUUUGGGGUAAGCCCAGCCCCGUCCGGAUCCCGGCGAUCCCGCGGAUCCCGCGCCCCGAGGGGGGGGGGGGGGGGGGGGGGGGGGGGGGGGGGGGGGGGGGGGGGGGGGGGGGGGGGG